rnacentral:rRNA from 1 species
CGUUUAGGGGUAAACCUGAGAAACCCGAAAGGUCGAAGGGAGAAAUUCAUUCGCGUUUCGUAGUUGGCGUUGAACGAUUUGGCGACGGGAGUGUGCUUGCACAUCUUCUGCGCGUUUUGUUUAACGAGCUUGACAGCGAACGCGUGCACUUUUCUCCUGGUAGGACGUUGCGAUCCGUCGGGUGUCGAUCUACGAUUCGUGGUGGAGCCCGUUGGCGGCGUUUCGGCGCUCGUUGAUGGACCCAUGGUAUCUGAUCGACUUGCUCGACGGUAUACGAAUGGUCAGAGGCCGCUUUCUAAGCGUUCGACCGAUGGCAAGCGCGCCGAAAUCGUUGGCGAUCGGACCUAGUGCCGAUUCCGACUUUCGGUGACUGUUGGCUGUCGAGUUCUCGGACAGACCUCUUAAGACCGAUCUGCGACGCUAUAGCUUUGGGUAAUUUCAGGACCCGUCUUGAAACACGGACCAAGGAGUCUAGCAUGUACGCAAGUCAUUGGGACUCAAUAAACCUAAAGGCGAAAUGAAAGUAAAGAUCUUCCUUGUGGAGAUCAAGGGAAGAGGAGCAGUUUUGCCUUUAAAGCGGACUGUUUCGCAUUCCCGGGGCGUCUCGUUCUCAUCGCGAGAUGAGGCGCACCAAGAGCGUACACGC